rnacentral:rRNA from 1 species
GAUGAACGCUGGCGGCAUGCCUAAUACAUGCAAGUCGAGCGACCGGACGAGAAGAUUGCUUCUCUGAUGUUAGCGGCGGACGGGUGAGUAACACGUGGAUAACCUACCUAUAAGACUGGGAUAACUUCGGGAAACCGGAGCUAAUACCGGAUCAUAUUUUCAACCGCAUGAUUCAAAAGUGAAAGACGGUCUUGCCGUCACUUAUAGAUGGAUCCGCGCUGCAUUAGCUAGUUGGUAAGGUAACGGCUUACCAAGGCAACGAUGCAUAGCCGACCUGAGAGGGUGAUCGGCCACACUGGAACUGAGACACGGUCCAGACUCCUACGGGAGGCAGCAGUAGGGAAUCUUGCGCAAUGGGCGAAAGCCUGACGGAGCAACGCCGCGUGAGUGAUGAAGGUCUUCGGAUCGUAAAACUCUGUUAUUAGGGAAGAACAUAUGUGUAAGUAACUGUGCACAUCUUGACGGUACCUAAUCAGAAAGCCACGGCUAACUACGUG